rnacentral:rRNA from 2 species
AACGUAGGUCACAAGCGUUGUCCGGAAUUACUGGGUGUAAAGGGAGCGCAGGCGGGCGAUCAAGUUGGAAGUGAAAUCCAUGGGCUCAACCCAUGAACUGCUUUCAAAACUGGUCGUCUUGAGUAGUGCAGAGGUAGGCGGAAUUCCCGGUGUAGCGGUGGAAUGCGUAGAUAUCGGGAGGAACACCAGUGGCGAAGGCGGCCUACUGGGCACCAACUGACGCUGAGGCUCGAAAGUGUGGGUAGCAAACAGG